rnacentral:rRNA from 1 species
UGCAGUCGANGAGUUCUGAUUAUUGAAAGGUGCUUGCAUCUUGAUUUAAUUUUGAACGAGUGGCGGACGGGUGAGUAACACGUGGGUAACCUGCCCUUAAGUGGGGGAUAACAUUUGGAAACAGAUGCUAAUACCGCAUAAAUCCAAGAACCGCAUGGUUCUUGGCUGAAAGAUGGCGUAAGCUAUCGCUUUUGGAUGGACCCGCGGCGUAUUAGCUAGUUGGUGAGGUAACGGCUCACCAAGGCAAUGAUACGUAGCCGAACUGAGAGGUUGAUCGGCCACAUUGGGACUGAGACACGGCCCAAACUCCUACGGGAGGCAGCAGUAGGGAAUCUUCCACAAUGGACGCAAGUCUGAUGGAGCAACGCCGCGUGAGUGAAGAAGGCUUUCGGGUCGUAAAACUCUGUUGUUGGAGAAGAAUGGUCGGCAGAGUAACUGUUGUCGGCGUGACGGUAUCCAACCAGAAAGCCACGGCUAACUACGUGCCAGC